rnacentral:lncRNA from 1 species
UAAUCCCAAAGAGACAACGUUGCUCUGCAGAUAGUGAUCAUAUAUCUCAGACUUAUUAGACUCUAGGAUAGCGAGAGCUGCCUUUCUUCUUCAAGAACUCUGGAAUCUCCACCGAACCACCAUCUCUAAAGGAGGAAGAAGGUCUUCUUGUACCUCCAGUUGAGGCAGUAUCUGCUUGUGCCAUCUGAGCCGCCCUUCCUUCUCCUUCCUCUUGUCGCUUAAAACCCGUUGCUAUGAGAGUUAUGCUCACCUUGUACCAAAAAACAAUCAAUUUCUACCAUCUCCAAAGGCCAUAUAAGUUAGUUAAAGACGAAUCAAAAAGGACAUACUUGACCGGUGAGGGAUGGAUCCACAACAGCUCCGAAUAUAAGAUUAGCAGUUGGAUCAACAAGAUCAUAUAUAACUUCCGCAGCAGCAUUUACCUACAAAGGGCACCAUAGUCUAAUGAGAAACAUGUAGACACCAAAUGAGAUAAAGAAACACAUAUGAGAGAGAGAGAGAGAGAGACCUCGAACAAUGUCAAGUCGGUUCCACCAGUGAUGUUCCAAACGAUCCCAGUGGCUCUCUCAAUGCCGAUAUCAAGCAAUGGUGAUUGGAUUGCGUUCAGUGCAGCAUCUCUUGCCCUACUCUUCCCUGCUUGAUUACCAAUUUACACUAGCACAUAAGACUAUAUAGUGGUUAUGAUAAAACUAUGCAGACCAAAGCUUUACCUGUUGCAGUUCCUAUCCCCAUCAGUGAAGAACCUGCAUUCGCCAUUAUAGCUCUCACAUCAGCAAAAUCCACAUUCACCAAACCAGGAAUCUGACAAAGCAAACACAAACUAUUAAAGCAUUUGCCCCACACACACAUAAAACAAUCACAUUAAAAAAGCCAUUACCGUAAUGAUAUCAGAGAUCCCACGAACUCCCUGACGAAGUAUAUCAUCAGCUAGAUUAAAAGCCUCCGUCACAGGAGUAGACUGAGAGACAGCCGUAAGCAGCUUAUCAUUCGGAAUAACAAUGAGAGUGUCAACAUUGUCUCUCAGCGAAGCAAGCCCUUCUUGAGCCUGCACCGCUCUUUUUCUCCCCUCAAACGAGAACGGCGUCGUGGCAAUACCAACAGUCAGUAUCCCCAUCGCCUUAGCGAUUCCAGCUAUCACAGGAGCUGCUCCAGUACCAGUCCCACCUCCCAUUCCAGCUGUGACAAAGACCAUGUCUGAACCAUAAAGAGCCUCUUCAAUAGCUUCUUUACUCUCCUUAGCAGCGUUCAUACCAAUCUCCGGAUUCCCACCAGCGCCUAAGCCUCUAGUCAGCUCCUUACCAAUCUGCAGCCUGUUCUCAGACAAAACAGGAGACAUCCUCAUAGCUUGAAUGUCAGUGUUCACAAUCCAGAACUCCACUCCCAUCAUCUCGCUCUCUAUCAUACGGUUCACAGCGUUUGAUCCACCUCCUCCCACGCCGAUAACUUUAAUCCUCGCCUCAUUAUAGCCACUAGGAGCAGAGGGCUCGUCAAAGUCCUCGGUGAGAGGAACCACAGAACUAGUUUCUUUCCUGGGGUUGGAGACUGUGUUGGCUCCUCCUCCUUCUAAUCUGAACAAGAGCCUUCUGUGUUUCUUCAUUUCAUAUUAUAAAAAGAAACACCAACUCUCAUCUCUUGUCUCUUCACCUCUUAUCUCUCUCUCUCUAGCUAGUCUCCACAAGCUCUAUGCCUCAAGUCGAUCAUGAAGCCUUCGCCGAUGACCCGAAAACUCGACCUUACAACUCCGCCGCGAGUCCGGCUGAUUUUCCGCCGGAAUCUUAUUUCUUGUCCAAAGAUGCUCAGCUCGAGUGGCUCACCGACAACGCCUUCUUCGACCGUAGAGAAUCGCAUAGAGGAAACUCAGUGAAUAAUAUCAACUCGAACCCUAGCUCUCAACGGUACUCCAAAGCGUCCAUCAUCGGUUUGCCGAAGCCGCAGAACACGUGCUUAAACGAGGCCAAGCAGCGGAGAAACGUCGGCAAAACCGAUAAAAACAAGAACCGUACGGGGUUCUUGAAACGGGUCGGGUCACGAACGAAGACGGAUCUUUCGCUUCUUCGCGAGCCUUCUUCUCCUAAUGUCUCGUGCAUGGGUAGAGUGAGAUCCAAAAGAGAACGUAGCCGCCGUAUGCAACGUCAAAAAUCGGUUCGACCGGAGAAGCCAAACCGGGUCAAGAAACCCGGGUUUAUGGCGAGUUUCAGAGCUAUCUUUCGUAUAGGAGGCGGCUGCAAACACGCGCCAUCCCGUGGGACGCACACACCGCCGAGUAGGGCACGUGGUGACAUCAGGAGCCGGCUUCCACCGGAAAAUGUUGAACCGGGAGCUUCCGGUUUGGGUGGGAUGACCCGGUUCGCUUCCGGAAGAAGAGGGGAUUUGUUAGGUGGGGUUGUUGACGUGUCGUGACAAGUGUAAUGUUAGUGAUUGGUUGGUUUUGGUGGGACCUGUUUUAACUGUUGUUGUGUUUGAAAUAUCGUUGGCGCUGACGCGGCAAAGUGGUGUAACGUUCUUCAGGAACACACGGCAACGCGAUGGCGGUGAUUCUUAUCCACCAACCACACCUUGUACUGUUUAUGUAGAUUUUUUCACAUUAUAAUCAUUGAUAUUUCUUCUUUUUUAUUAUUGUAAAUUGUUAUAGAAAUACAUUUGUAUUUAUUAAUCAGUCAAAGCAUACUUCUACCACCACUAGACUAAUGGUAAUUUCAGUUAUAUUAUUAGAACAAAGGAAGUCAAAUUAGCAAUCAAGCAGUUCAUGGAAAAUAUUCGAACAUCUUGUGAAGUUUUUGACUCUUUCACAAAGAUUAAAUUGAAAAGAAAAUCUUCAACUUAAUCUUUGUGAAAGAGUCAAAAACUUAACAAGAUGUUGAAUAUUUUCACAAGUUGUAGAAAGAUUAAUUAAGUUGUAGAUGUUCUUUUCUCUCUUUUUUAAAAAAAAAAACAAUUUUCUUUUCUCGUUCCAAUCAUUGAUGUACAUUAUUUUCUUUGAGAAAUAAUUCAAAUAUUCACUAGACUAUAUUUGCGAAGUGAUUUUGUCCAUAUUAUCUCUACAAUCAAUUUCACAAAACAAAUAUGACAUCCGCUAGACUAUAUUUGCGAAGUGAUUUUGCCACAUGUUAUAUCUACAAUCAAUUUCACAAAACAAAUAUGACAUACCUAAUGAAAUUGAUGACAUGACUUCCGGAAAAAAUAUGACAUGGAUAAUUUCAUUUAAUGUUGAUUUAUAUUUUUGGAAAACUUAUUUGAAUCCCUUAUAUACUAAAGCGCAAGUCGCAUCUCCAAUCAAAAUCUAACACGUGGAAAAUCCUUUAAAAAAUUAAAAAAAUAAUUGACAUGUGGAAAAACUAAAAAAACUAAAAAUAAAUAAUUAAAAUUUUCUCUGCAGUUCCUAUUUUCUUAGUCUAAAUAUUAACUACCUAUUUCUUAUUUUUCUCAAAAAAUUUAAGCUACGUUGGUUUUUAUAUAUUUUCCGUAUUUUCUUCAGCAUCUUUUGUAUCAUAAAAACAUAAAGCACUUGACCAAUAAUUCAAGUUUAUUUUUCAAAAAAAAAAAAUUACUGAAAACAAAACAGUUGAAACAAAACAGUUUAUUUUUAUUUUUACUCUACAUAUAACGAAAAGAAAAAAAAAACUGUGUCAACUGCGCAAGUCGCAUCUCCAAUCAAAAUCUAACACGUGGAAAAUCCUUUAAAAAUUAAAAAAAUAAUUGACAUGUGGAAAAACUAAAAAAAAUAAAAAUAAAUAAUUAAAAUUUUCUCUGCAGUUCCUAUUUUCUUAGUCUAAAUAUUAACUACCUAUUUCUUAUUUUUCUCAAAAAAUUUAAGCUACGUUGGUUUUUAUAUAUUUUCCGUAUUUUCUUCAGCAUCUUUUGUAUCAUAAAAACAUAAAGCACUUGACCAAUAAUUCAAGUUUAUUUUUCAAAAAAAAAAAAUUACUGAAAACAAAACAGUUGAAACAAAACAGUUUAUUUUUAUUUUUACUCUACAUAUAACGAAAAGAAAAAAAAAACUGUGUCAACUGCGCAAGUCGCAUCUCCAAUCAAAAUCUAACACGUGGAAAAUCCUUUAAAAAUUAAAAAAAUAAUUGACAUGUGGAAAAACUAAAAAAACUAAAAAUAAAUAAUUAAAAUUUUCUCUGCAGUUCCUAUUUUCUUAGUCUAAAUAUUAACUACCUAUUUCUUAUUUUUCUCAAAAAAUUUAAGCUACGUUGGUUUUUAUAUAUUUUCCGUAUUUUCUUCAGCAUCUUUUGUAUCAUAAAAACAUAAACCACUUGACCAAUAAUUCAAGUUUAUUUUUCAAAAAAAAAAAAUUACUGAAAACAAAACAGUUUAUUUUUAUUUUUACUCUACAUAUAACGAAAAGAAAAAAAAAACUGUGUCAACUGCCUCUCAACCAUUACAGCCACGAUACCCACCUCUUACAUUACAUCAACUUUAAAUGCACACUAGAAUCACUUGGACAAAAAAAAUACUUAUAAAAUCAUUCCAAACAGUUCCAUUUUUUCCACAAAGUAACCGAUGCUUUCAUCUUUCGUAUAGUUUGAUUUUCUUCUCUUGAAAAUGUUGUUGGAGUGUAUAAAAUGAUUUUAGAGAAGAUGAAGUGAAGGUUAUACAUGGCUUUUUGGAAAUUUGUGGUUAGUGAUGUAGACGACUUCAGAUGAUAGUUGUUUAGCAAAAGAGUAAGUGAUAAAGUUUUAGCUUCUAAGUCUCAGCAUUUAAUUAUCUUCCGUUAUGAAGUUUGGUUUUAUUUUUUUAAGUUUUUUUGGAGAGAAAUCAUUGUUACUACGUCUUCAAGUGAUAAGGUGAAAUAAAUUUUAGAAGAUAAUUAAACAAGAGAAUGUUAAUCAUAUUCUAAUUCCGUACGUAGUACGGGUAGACAACUAGUAUGGUAAUAAUUCAUAUAUUACAUUUAAUAUUGAUAUUUGUUUGUGGUAAACUUCUUUAAAAUAUGGUAAUAGCUCAUACAUCAUCUAUAAAAUAAAUAUAUUCAUAUAACAUUUCAAAUUUUGAAAUAUUUUUUUUUAUAAUUAUACAAUUUGUAUUACUAAAGCUUUCAAAAAUUUCUACAAUUUUUUUAAAAUUUAAAUAUAUAAUCGUAACAUCAUUAGUUUUUUUAUAUACCUAUAAAUUUUAUAAAUAUUGUUCAGGCUAAAUUUUUGAUAAUUAUACAAUUUUAUCAUUUUUAUUGGUUUUAUACAAAUUGAUUUAAUAUAUAUCAAACCUGUAUUAAAUAUUAGUAAGAAAAUAGUAAAUCUAUAAUAUUUAAUAAAAUUUAUUUUUAAAUAUAAAUUAGAUUAUAAAAAAAAUUACUGCACAUGGUGCAGGAAAACACCUAGUUUAGUUGAUUAACUAUUGUGAUUGACCACUAGACUAAUAUUUUCCCUAUGUUUGAAUGGUUUAUUUUUUAUUUUCAAAUAAUGAUAUUAAUACCAUUUUCCUUUCUCAUACAUAUUAAAUAUAAAUGUAAUUAUUUUAUUCAAAUAUUUUUCUGUAACUCAUUUUGUAAAACUAAAUUAGAUUAGUUAAAGUAUAAAAUCUGAAUCUUUUAAAUACAAGAAAAAAAUCUAGAACCAGUAAUUUUGAGGAAUGUUCUUUGUUUGUGAUGCCAAAGCGACAAAGUCUUUGUAAGGUAAAUUUCCACCAAAAGUGUCCAAGGCAUUUCCAACUGUUACAUCAUCCAUCACUGUCACGCCUCCCCCAUAAGUUUACUGGAAUCUGUCAGGGUCAUCUAUUUCGAUGUCUCCAUUUUGAAGCAUAACAAAUACAUUCAAAUUGAAUUCUGGUUUUACAAACAUCAAAAGCAUCAUCAAUUUGCCCAAGCGAGUAGAGCACAGUUGAUUUUUGAAAACGGGUGUGUUGCUCACCGGUGAGUAGUUGACAUGUUUCAUCUUCAAGUAGAGCACUGUUUUGUUUUGUAGUAGUAUUGUCUCUGUACAUUUUUCCCAUUUCAGUCAUUUAAGUAUAUUCUUUUUCUUGUUUUCGUUGUAAAUUGUUAACGAAGUCCGGUUUAGCUUACCAAAUGAGACUUAUGUUUCUUCUCGUCACUUGUAUCUAUAUAAGCUUAGACCCAAGCAAUCUAUUAAAACACAUCUGAUGUUGACGAAUAUGAGAUAUGAAUUGACACCAAGUUAGGUUAUUUUUUAUUAUAACAUUUUUUAAAAAUAUUUUCUUUCAAUAUUUAGAUUGAUGCAAGCAGGUUUGUUUAUAUGCUUCACAAAAAAAAAGAGCCACAGAGAGAUAAAACAAGACAAUGAAAGUUGUUUCUACUUCUCAUUCCAUAUAAUUGAAGUACAUAGGGAAUGGAGUUAAGCACAAACCACAUAUUCAUAAGUAAAAAUCGACGUAAAGAUCCAUAAUGAGCUGAAAAGGUUGAUCACGUGUAAAAAACAACAGAUGUAAACUACAGCAUUGCAUUAAACCAAAAACAUCCACCAUGAAUAUUUAAAAUAAAAGCAAUCCGACACUAAAGAAGCUGGUCAAGACUCAGGACUGCAAAUAGCUCUCACCCCCAGCAAAAUCCACAUUCACCAAACCAUGAAUCUGCAAAGCGAAAGACAAAGAUAAGCUGUUAAAGCAUUUUGCUAUGACAUUAGCUUAGAUUAAAAAGACCAUAUCUGAACCAUAAAGAGCCUCUCCUUUGCUCUCCCUAGCAGCAUUCAUACACAAAUCUCGAGAUUUCCUCCAUACUCGGUAGAAACCCACAAAACAUGAGUUAUGUUGUGGCUUUUGAGGAGUGGUACUCAAAAUAUUAACUCAUAUUUUGAAGGCUUUUACCGAGUACGUAAUCAAUCAUUUUGUAUGGAAGAGAAGAAAGGAAACCUUUGGAAAAGAGAGAGAGAAGCUAAGUUAAAACGAGAUCAUAGAAUGGACAAACCAAGAGGAAAGAUUUGUGAUGGCUCUCUCACUGUUGAUUGGGACAUUUAUUCUGUUGUUGUCAAAGAGAUGAGAUGAUGUGUGGUAGAGAAAGAAAGAAACACGAUACGAGGAGAGUGUGUGUUACAUUGGUAAUAUUCAAACUCAUCACAAGGUCCCACCUUAAGUGUGUUAAGUGAUAUACAACCAUCACUGAUAAUACGGAUUUGCAGCUCAUCAUUAAAAGACUUUUUUUUGUCUAAUUUUAAAAGUCAUAGAGACAUCACAUAACCAAUCAUCAUAACAUCACAUCUCUAAAACAAAAAACCUAUUCAAGUCACAGCACAGCAGCUAGGGGUUCUACACACCCACCCACACAAAUCUUGAUCAUACAUCAAAACAUCUUGCUGUAAUCCCAAAGAGACAAUGUCAGGAUAGUGACAAGGUCUCAGGCUUAUUAUUAGACUCUGGGAUAGCGAGAGCUACCUUUCUUCUUCAAGAACUCUGGGAUCUCCACUGAACCACCUUCUCUGAAAGAGGAAGAAGAAGGUCUUCUUGUAGCUCCAGUUGAGGCGGUAUCUGCUUGUGCCAUCUGAGCCGCCCUUCCUUCUCCUUCCUCUUGCCGCUUGAAACCCGUUGCUAUGAGAGUUAUGCUCACCUUAUA